UGCGGUCUGGGCAGGUGUGAUGUAAUUCUCAUUCGUAUGUUUAGUAUUGUGACAACAACAACAACACAUCUUACAACAACAUCAAAAAGAGAAAGAGAGGAAUGCAAAUACAUAACUGAAGAUUAUUAAAUCAGUAUAUGUUCUGUAAUCUUCUCAUUUUGGAGAGGAGUUUGGACACAUUGCGGAUCCGUGGUGUAAAACAGACCCUCUCAAUCCAGCUGUGUUGACGUCGUCACAUAAAUGUUGUAUCAACGGGACAAAACCAGCUCCGCUUCGAAGACGUUUAUAUCUUCUGCAGUUCGAUCUGCUGUUUCCCCAAACGGCUAGGCGGGCCAGGAGCAUGCACCGGUCUGCUGCCAGAGCUGGAGGCAUCUUCGUGCACAGAGACACCCCUGGAAACAACCCAGACACUCCCUUUGAGUUCACAGUGGAUAACCUGAAGGUGAAGACACUCCCCUUGAGUUCACAGUGGAUAACCUGAAGGUGAAGACACUCCCCUUGAGUUCACAGUGGAUAACCUGAAGGUGAAGACACUCCCCUUGAGUUCACAGUGGAUAACCUGAAGGUGAAGACACUCCCUUUGAGUUCACAGUGGAUAACCUGAAGGUGAAGACACUCCCCUUGAGUUCACAGUGGAUAACCUGAAAGAAGACCUGAGUCCAAAAGACAUCGAUCAGAUCAUUGAUGAGCUGAAAGCUGGGAUCGUCCCUCCUCCUGGGCCCAGGAACGGGGCCAGCAAGAGGACUGACGAGUUUGUCUGCGCCUCCCCCGGGACCUGGUGUUGGUGUCAGAGAUGAUCUAUAGAGACCUACAGUGUAUAUCAGUGCUCCCUAGCCCCUAUAUAGUGCACUACUUAGAACCAGAGCCCAUUGGGUUAUGGUUAAAAGUAGUGCACUAUAUAGGGUGCCAUUUUUUAAAUAAUUUUUUUGAUUACACACACCUAUAUAAUGUGUAAGAACGGUACCGUUCAGGGAAACACCCCGAACUUCAGUGGAAAUAACGUCAUGUAAAUAAAAUGUCAAUGUGCUCGUGGUGUCA